rnacentral:rRNA from 1 species
CCUACGGGAGGCAGCAGUGAGGAAUAUUGGUCAAUGGGCGAGAGCCUGAACCAGCCAAGCCGCGUGAGGGAGUACUGUCCUAUGGGUUGUAAACCUCUUUUGUCGGGGAGCAAAAGCCGGACGUGUCCGGCUGGGAGAUUACCCGAAGAAAAAGAAGCGGCUAACCCCGUGUCAGAAGCAGCGGUAAUCGGGAGGAUGCGAGCGUUAUCGGGAUUUGUUGGGUUUAAAGGGUGCGCAGGCGUAGUUUUAAGGUAGCGGGAAAAGCGUGGGGCUCAACCCCAUCCAGCCGUUGAAACUGGGGAUCUAGAGUGUGCGAGAGGUAUGCGGAAUGCGAGGUGUAGGGGUGAAAUGCAUAGAUAUCAGGCAGAACCCCAGUGGCGAAGGCAGCAAUCCGGUGCACAACUGACGCUGAGGCACGAAAGCGUGGGUAUCGAACAGGAUUAGAUACCCUUGUAGUC